CUCCCAAUUCCUGACAAUCUCUUCUAGUGAGGACCACUCUGUAACCUGUACCUCUACAUUUUUCUAUACAUUACGUCUUUAAAUUCUCAAUUUUAUUAUUAUUAUUAUUUUAAUCAGAAAAAGGGCCUCUGCUGGGUCAGGAAAUGCAGUAAAAUGCUUUCAACGUACAAGUACCACUAAUUACAUCAAUUACCUGCAUUCUCCUUAGCCACUCCUUGGGAAUGCUCAGUACUCCAUUCCAGACCACAUGGCCGACACUCAAUCUGCUGCGGGAGUGAUUUAAUAGGAGACUUCUCCACUAGAGGGAUUUUGAAAUGAACUUUAUGAGAAGGGAUUUGAAAUGACUAAGAAACUACAGUCACUGGCAGCACAAAGCUGCAAAAGUGUGUGACGACGCUGGAAGGAGCCGAUCCAAGAACAAGAUCCGCUUGGUGCAAGUGCAAAAGAAACCACAGAUGGAAGCUCACAGAUGGAAGCCCGCUGAUCAUACAGCUGUUUCUUUGUUGGGAUAUCCAUUGGAGAACAUCCUUAACUCCUUGAACUAUUUAUACUGUCUCUGAAUACUCUUACCAGAAGCCAGGCCUGCUGGGCGUGAAUCCAGCUUGCCUGAAAGAGGUAAUGUGACGCUAAGUAAGGACUACCACCCCUAUUUUCCAGGAAUAGAAACCUGAGAGCCGGUUAAGUAGGCUACUUGCCAAGGUCACACUUAAUUUCAUUUCAUAAGUUAUGAUGAGCCUGCUAUGUUCCAGGCACAGGCGUGAGUGAGAGAGACCCUGUUCUCAUCCACCUGGAGCUUAUUGUCUAGUAGGGGCAACAUACUAAACUAAUGAAUUAAUUAUAUGAUAAAUGUAAUAAAUGCAAAGUAUAGGAUGAUGUGAGAGCA
rnacentral:lncRNA from 1 species